GUGCUCGAGGAGCGUUGCGACGGUUGCCCAGGCUUUGGGACGACCGCCAGGCUCGGGCCGGCGGCACCGCGAGGGCUGCCCUGCAACGGCGCUCACCCCUC
rfam:Methylibium petroleiphilum PM1, complete genome.